rnacentral:lncRNA from 1 species
GGGUUUACAAUUUCAUCUUAUCCAUCCUUAUAUAUCUACUUUUCUUAUUUAAUUCGCUUAUUUAUCAUAUUGCCAUGCAAACUUUCUUGGUCUAUCCUUAACCCAAUCCCUUGGCGAAAAGAGCCUAUUACUUAUUACCAGCUUGCUAUCCCUAGCCUCCCCUAGUAGUUAAUAAUGCAUAACGAACUAAAGCAAAAUACAAUUGAUCGUCCUACCCCUAUCCCUAGGCGGUAUUAGCAUAAUCAAGGAAUUCCCCCAGUUCAUGACAUUACACUAGUAAAAUAAGCAGUUACUGACGCGCCAUAUACACUUCGGUUAAGGAAAAACCGAAACAUAUAGACCUAUGUAUCUCGGUUUAGAAAAACCCGAGGUGGAAGGGGCAUAUUGCAUCGGUUAGUUGCAGACCCGAUGCUUAUACCUCCACACAGAGCUCUGCAAAUCGGCUUUUGGCUAACAUCGUUUUUGAAAAGGUCCUAUUGCAUCGGUUGGUAGCAGACCCGAUGCCUAUACACCUGCCAAAACUUGCAACACCUCUGCAACCCACGCUCUCCACUUAAAGCAUUAACAUGACUGGGUUAUUGCCUCAGGUAGUUGGUAGAACCGAAGCAUAUGGUUGGAGAUUUCGCUUUUUUAGGGAAUCGAGGCCUAUUAACCUCAUUUACAAUUUUUACUUUCGCGUAAGUUACCCUAGACUGAACAUCUUCUUUCUUCCUCGCUGAACCUGCAUUUUCUCUCUAGCUAGUUGAACGCAUUUUCUUCCUCGCCUCAACCUGCAUCUUUUUUCGCGUUUUCCUCCUCUCUCGCGACCUCUCUUCUUCAUCUUGUAUGCUUGAACUUUCUCCGUUUUCCCUACACUGCAUCCAUUUGCUACGAGAAUUGGUGCACCGUCGUUCUCCUACUUUGCCGCCUUCGUCCUUGCAAUUGUCGCCGUCAUCGCCCACUCUGUCGUCGUCGCACACUCUACCGUCGCCGCCCCCGUUGUUGUCGUCCCCUCCCUUGCUGCGCCUCCACCACCACUCAUUCACUCAUUUCUCACCGAUCCUCCACUGCCCUUGCUGUCGCGCCACCACCCCCCACCGCCCUUUGCCUACCCAUUCGGUUUUAGGUGCCGAAGGACCGAAUUGCUAUCCCUAAAGCCCUUCCUUUCGGUCCCCUUCCCUUAAAGCUCUAGGGUUUUCUGUCCCCUUUUCAGGUAUUUUGUGGGUUUUCUCUUGAUUCAUUGUUUCUAGAUUUUCUAAUGUUAAAAUUUGAUUCCUUUUUAUCGUUUCCCUUCUAUGGGUUGAUCGAAUUGAUAACUCGAGUCCUCUACUGGAAUUUGCUUUGAGUGUGGCGG